UCGCGGCUGUUGCCCAAGCGUU
rnacentral:miRNA from 1 species